UUUAUUUUAAUCUAAUCUAAAAUAAAUAAAAGAAAAUUUCAGCACGCCCAUGACAUGAUAGCAACCUACUGAUUAAGUGAUAAAUCAAACAUCAACCAAUAUCACACUGAUUUUGACACUAUAUGUUAAGUAAUGACAUAGUGGGUAUAUUCCUAUGUUUUAACAUUGUUUUAAAUUUGUGACGUCUAUUUGUGUACCUAGUUGUUUCACAACCAACUUUGCAUGCAUGUCAUGUAUUUCUUGAAAAAGGCAUGGAUUCCUGCCGAAACGUCGAAAUAAAAAUGUCAUAACAUCAUA